AGUCGGACCUGCCCAGUGAAAUUUUUUAACGGCCGCGGUACUCUGACCGUGCAAAGGUAGCAUAAUCAUUUGCCUUAUAAUUGAAGGCUAGUAUGAAUGGUUUGACAAGAAUAUAGCUGUCUCUUUCUGGCUAAAUAGAAUUUUAUUUAGAGGUGAAGAAGCCUCUAUCAAAUUAAAAGACAAGAAGACCCUAUCGAGCUUUAAAAAAGUUAAUAGAUGNGAAUAAUUUAUANUAUUUAAAAAAUUAACUAUUAAAAAUUUUAGUUGGGGCGACUGAGGAACAAAAAAAGCUUCCUUUAUNAGUAUAANAACCACACGAGUAUUGAUCCAGAAUAUUUUGAUUAAAGGAAUUAGUUACCGUAGGGAUAACAGCAUUAUCUUUUUUAAGAGUUCUUAUCGAAAAGAAGGUUUGUGACCUCGAUGUUGGACCAGAAUAUCCUAAAGAUGCAGUAGUCUU
rnacentral:rRNA from 1 species